UAGGAACAAGCUGUUUAGCAUUUCAUUUACACUGAAAAGGGGCUUGUAAGUUACAAGGUUCCUAA
rnacentral:tRNA from 1 species